AAUGGCGAAUGAACAGGGAAAAGUUCAAAACCGAAUCGUGCUGGGAAACCGGUUACGAGUUGUGGUGUAUGGUCAGCUUCAGAAGCACUUUAAUGUUGUGAUGAGUUCGGUUGAAUACGAUAUUUCCAGAGAGGGUGACAGGCCCAUAUUCAUGAUGUUAUUGUGCUUAAGAGAUGACCUUCGAGUCGAAUUGUUUGAGAUUGCAAUUCAAACAUGUGUGGUAAACUCCAUACAAAACUCAAUAUGACGACGGCACCGAUAGCGAAGAAGUACCGUGAGGGAAAGUUGAAAAGGACUUUGAAAAGAGAGUUAAAUAGGGCGUGAAACUGCACACUGAAAAGCGAAUGAGUACACAUGGGUUCUUGUUACUAUUGAUUGCGUUGGAUAGGUUGGUCCGGGUGUGCGUAAAUGCUUCCCGUACCAGCUGUUGUGCGUAUUGUAUUUGGUGAUUUGACGUUCUGCUUGGCUUUGUAACAGCUACAGUCACAGUGAAGUACUCCUCUCCCUCGUGGAGAUGGAAGUGUCACUCGUAGCCUUAUUAUGUUAACAAUAGAGAAUUUCUGUUCGUGGAUAGCUGCGGUCGUUUUAUGCGAACGCAGUCGUUAGCUGCAAUGGAGCUUGAGAUACUCUGGUUCACAGAGCCUCAAGAUGACUGGUUGGUUUGGCGUGCUUUGCACGAAUUGCGGAUUGGUUGCAUUGGUUGUGUGAUUGCUUUUUAAAGCAGGUUGUGUUGUGGCAUCAUUCGAACCGUCUUGAAACACGGGCUAAGGAGUUCAACAGAUGCGCGAGUUUACUGGUCUUUCGAAACCAGAUGGCUAAGUUAAUGCGAUUUUGUGUAUAAUGGAGAGAACUCGUCUACUUUCGAGUUGGACGAGGUCACCUCCUAUGAUGGAUGGCAUGCAAGUACCGAUUGCUGUUCGCAGUCGAGCGCAUAUGCUGAGACCCGAAAGAUGGUGAACUAUGCCUGGGUAGGAUGAAGCCGGAGGAAACUCUGGUGGAGGUCCGAAGCGUUUUUGACGUGCAAAUCAAUCGUCAGACUUGGGUAUAGGGGCGAAAGACUAAUCGAACCAUCUAGUAGCUGGUUCCCUUCGAAGUUUCCCCCAGGAAAGCUGGUGCCAUGUUUGACAGUUUUAUCUGGUAAAGCGAAUGAUUAGAGGCAUUGGGGACGAAUUGUCCUCGACCUAUUCUCAAACUUUAAAUGGGUAAUGUGCCGAUGCACUUCUUGAUAUUCUUGAGUGCUCGGUCAAAUGCAAUGGCGCCAAGUGGGCCAUUUUUGGUAAGCAGAACUGGCGAUGUGGGAUGAACCAAACGUUGAGCUAGGAUGCCCAAAGUGCUUCUCAUGAGAUACCAUGAAAGGUGUCAGUCGAUAUUGACAGCAGGACGGUGGCCGCAGGAAAGU
rnacentral:rRNA from 1 species